rnacentral:rRNA from 1 species
UACGUAGGGGGCAAGCGUUGUCCGGAAUCAUUGGGCGUAAAGAGCGUGUAGGCGGCCCGGUAAGUCCGCUGUAAAAGUCAAAGGCUUAACCUUUGAAUGUCAGUGGAUACUGCCGGGCUAGAGUCCGGAAGAGGCGAGUGGAACUCCUGGUGUAGCGGUGGAAUGCGCAGAUAUCAGGAAGAACACCAACGGCGAAGGCAGCUCGCUGGAACGGUACUGACGCUGAGGCGCGAAAGCGUGGGGAGCGAACAGG